rnacentral:lncRNA from 1 species
AUGUUAAACAUUACCCUUCAUCCUGAGGUAGUUCACACAAGCAUUCCUGGCUGGUCUCACAUAUCCCAAUCUUUGUCUUCCUAGGUGCCCCAUGAUGAACCUUAAGCCCAAGCCAAGCCUAUGGUUCCCAGUCAGGCAACCCCUUAAGCCAAGUCACCAUUAGAUGAGGCUGCAUCUGAGGCCCAACUCGUUCUAGUGCUUUUGUCUUUUUCUUUCAGAUGCUGGCUAAAGGUUUAAAGUCCCUAACCAACACUGUGGGACUCUGUACUCUUUCUAAAGCUCCCCUGCCUGCCUGCCUGGAAGCUGUUUUGCUCAGCAGUUUGUCCUCCAGAUGCCUUAUCUAAAGCAGCAAGGCUUUGGUUUUUCUCUCCUCCUUUCUCCUCCUCCCUUCCAGGGAACAGUGAGAGUUACUGCUUUCCUCUCCUGGAGUUUCUUUUAGACUC